CAGCAGCAGCCGCGGUAAUACAGAGGGUGCGAGCGUUAAUCGGAUUUACUGGGCGUAAAGCGUGCGUAGGCGGCUUCUUAAGUCGGAUGUGAAAUCCCUGAGCUUAACUUAGGAAUUGCAUUCGAUACUGGGAAGCUAGAGUAUGGGAGAGGAUGGUAGAAUUCCAGGUGUAGCGGUGAAAUGCGUAGAGAUCUGGAGGAAUACCGAUGGCGAAGGCAGCCAUCUGGCCUAAUACUGACGCUGAGGUACGAAAGCAUGGGGAGCAAACAGGAUUAGAUACCCGCGUAGUCCCUGUCUCUUAUAC
rnacentral:rRNA from 1 species